CCCGGCGGCACUAGCGCGGUGGUCCCACCUGAUCCCAUUCCGAACUCAGAAGUGAAACGAUGCAUCGCCGAUGGUAGUGUGGGGUCUCCCCAUGCGAGAGUAGGGAACUGCCAGGC
rnacentral:rRNA from 1 species